AUGAAUAAGAAAAUCAAAAAAUUAUUUUCUGUACCUCUAGCUAUGUUAUCAAAUAUGUUUUCAAACUUGGCAUGUUUAGCGACAUUUUUUUUAGUUUUUUUUGCAUAAAUUCUUGUUUACAUUUUGAAGCGGUGACGCAAACUCUGAUCGUUACGUCCCCAACGAUUAUCGGAUGCAUUUUAAGAAAACAAACAAAACAAACGAGACACAUUUUAUAGAAUAAAUAACAAAGUUUCGCGGAUUAAUUUCUCUUGGAUAUUUGACUAAUUUCAGAUUAUAAAGCAAAGUUUCGUGGAUUAUUUCCUCGUGGAUAUUCGACUAAUCUCAGAUAAGUUGCUUAAUUCUUUUAUUUUUAGUGUAUUUAUUUGUAAAUAUUAUUUUAUUUAAU
rnacentral:lncRNA from 1 species